AGUGGAUUUAUUCUUCUUCUUCCAACCAGAUUUUUUCUUGAUCAAAGAAGUCUGCUCUAUAGUAAGAACAGUGCCCCUUAAACUCUUCAAGGUUUUCACUGUAGUGACCAACAUGUUGAUCAGUUUGGGUAUAGUGCAAUCAAGUUUGUUUAUAUAAAAAUUUAUAAUAAAUUGACUAUAUAUGAACUAGUAAGGGAUUG
rnacentral:lncRNA from 1 species